rnacentral:misc_RNA from 1 species
GAUGAAGAACGCAGCGAAAUGCGAUACUUGGUGUGAAUUGCAGAAUCCCGUGAACCAUCGAGUCUUUGAACGCAAGUUGCGCCCGAAGCCACUAGGCCGAGGGCACGCCUGCCUGGGCGUCACACGUCGUUGCCCCCCCAUCUACUCCUUCGGGAUUGCGGGGGGGGCGGAUGAUGGCCUCCCGUGCGCCUAGCCGCGCGGUUGGCAUAAAUACCAAGUCCUCGGCGACGCACGCCACGACAAUCGGUGGUUGCGAAACCUCGGUUGCCCGUCGUGUGCGUUCGUCGCGCAUCGAGGGCUCGAAAAAAUGCUCGGCUUCGGCUCGGCUUUCAACGCGACCCCAGGUCAGGCGGGGUUACCCGCUGAAUUUAAGCAUAUCAAUAAGCGGAGGA